rnacentral:rRNA from 1 species
UACGUAGGAUGCAAGCGUUGUCCGGAAUUAUUGGGCGUAAAGGGCUCGUAGGCGGUUUGUUGCGUCGGGAGUGAAAACUUACAGCUUAACUGUGAGCGUGCUUCCGAUACGGGCAGACUUGAGGUAUUCAGGGGAGAACGGAAUUCCUGGUGUAGCGGUGAAAUGCGCAGAUAUCAGGAGGAACACCGGUGGCGAAGGCGGGUCUCUGGGCCGUAACUGACGCUGGAGGAGCGAAAGCGUUGGGGAGCGAACAGG